rnacentral:lncRNA from 1 species
CUUGUAAUUUGUUUGGUUUAGUGUGCAGCUUACGUUUUAUGCGAGGGCAAAUCCCUGUGGACGAACUUCUUUUUGAUCCUGAGAUCGAGAGAACCGCAAGGAGGCUCAAUAGCAAAACGAGACGUAGGAGGCAACAGGCUAGACAACGCCAAGAGCAAGGAGAAAGUUCUUCAACCACAAAUCCACACCCAUUCAUACCAAACAUGGAGC